rnacentral:rRNA from 1 species
GACGAACGCUGGCGGCGUGCCUAAUACAUGCAAGUAGAACGCUGAAGGAGGAGCUUGCUUCUCUGGAUGAGUUGCGAACGGGUGAGUAACGCGUAGGUAACCUGCCUGGUAGCGGGGGAUAACUAUUGGAAACGAUAGCUAAUACCGCAUAAGAGUGGAUGUUGCAUGACAUUUGCUUAAAAGGUGCACUUGCAUCACUACCAGAUGGACCUGCGUUGUAUUAGCUAGUUGGUGGGGUAACGGCUCACCAAGGCGACGAUACAUAGCCGACCUGAGAGGGUGAUCGGCCACACUGGGACUGAGACACGGCCCAGACUCCUACGGGAGGCAGCAGUAGGGAAUCUUCGGCAAUGGACGGAAGUCUGACCGAGCAACGCCGCGUGAGUGAAGAAGGUUUUCGGAUCGUAAAGCUCUGUUGUAAGAGAAGAACGAGUGUGAGAGUGGAAAGUUCACACC